rnacentral:rRNA from 1 species
UACGUAGGGCGCAAGCGUUAUCCGGAAUUAUUGGGCGUAAAGAGCUCGUAGGCGGCUUGUCGCGUCGGUUGUGAAAGCCCGGGGCUUAACCCCGGGUCUGCAGUCGAUACGGGCAGGCUAGAGUGUGGUAGGGGAGAUCGGAAUUCCUGGUGUAGCGGUGAAAUGCGCAGAUAUCAGGAGGAACACCGGUGGCGAAGGCGGAUCUCUGGGCCAUUACUGACGCUGAGGAGCGAAAGCGUGGGGAGCGAACAGG